rfam:Oryza barthii chromosome 11, whole genome shotgun sequence.
AAUAAGUGCAGUUUUACACUAUUCAUAUUCAACGUUUGACCGUCUGUCUUAUUUGAAAAUUUUUUAUGAUUAUUAUUUUUAUUUCUAUUAGAUGAUAAAACAUAAAUAGUACUUUAUGUGUGACUAAAUGUUUUUAAUUUUUUCACAAAUUUUUCAAAUAAGACGGACGGUCAAACGUUGAACGUGAAUAGUGCAAAACUGCACUUAUU